UACGGGGGGGGCAAGCGUUGUUCGGAAUUACUGGGCGUAAAGGGCUCGUAGGCGGCCAACUAAGUCAGACGUGAAAUCCCCAGGCUCAACCUGGGAACUGCGUCUGAUACUGGAUGGCUUGAAUUCGGGAGAGGGAUGCAGAAUUCCAGGUGUAGCGGUGAAAUGCGUAGAUAUCUGGAGGAAUACCUGUGGCGAAAGCGGCUCACUGGACCACAACUGACGCUGAGGCGCGAAAGCUAGGGGAGCAAACAGG
rnacentral:rRNA from 1 species